AGCUCCAAUAGCGUAUAUUAAAGUUGUUGCAGUUAAAAAGCUCGUAGUUGGAUUUGUGGCUGUCGCGUGCGGCCUGACACAUUGUGUUAGUGUUUGCUUGCGUCGCCAUCCUUGGGUGGAACCUGUGUGGCAUUAGGUUGUCGUGCAGGGGAUGCCCAUCGUUUACUGUGAAAAAAUUAGAGUGUUCAAAGCAGGCUUAUGCCGUUGAAUAUAUUAGCAUGGAAUAAUAAGAUAGGACCUUGGUACUAUUUUGUUGGUUUGCGCACCAAGGUAAUGAUUAAUAGGGACAGUUGGGGGUAUUCGUAUUCCAUUGUCAGAGGUGAAAUUCUUGGAUUUUUGGAAGACGAACUACUGCGAAAGCAUUUACCAAGGAUGUUUUCAUUA
rnacentral:rRNA from 1 species